AUUGAACGCUGGCGGCAGGCCUAACACAUGCAAGUCGAGCGGAUGAGUGGAGCUUGCUCCAUGAUUCAGCGGCGGACGGGUGAGUAAUGCCUAGGAAUCUGCCUGGUAGUGGGGGACAACGUUUCGAAAGGAACGCUAAUACCGCAUACGUCCUACGGGAGAAAGUGGGGGAUCUUCGGACCUCACGCUAUCAGAUGAGCCUAGGUCGGAUUAGCUAGUUGGUGAGGUAAAGGCUCACCAAGGCGACGAUCCGUAACUGGUCUGAGAGGAUGAUCAGUCACACUGGAACUGAGACACGGUCCAGACUCCUACGGGAGGCAGCAGUGUGGAAUAUUGGACAAUGGGCGAAAGCCUGAUCCAGCCACGCCGCGUGUGUGAAGAAGGUCUUCGGAUUGUAAAGCACUUUAAGUUGGGAGGAAGGGCAGUAAGUUAAUACCUUGCAGCCUUGACGUUACCGACAGAAUAAGCACCGGCUAACUUCGUGCCAGCCGCCGCAGUAACAC
rnacentral:rRNA from 1 species